GAGACUUUCGGUGGAAUUCCUCUUUACACCUGCGUCGGUUUAGUCUUUGCUCUCGAUUUUGCUCAAUCGGUGUACUUCUGGUGCGAAACAUUGCCUCUUGAUUAAUAGUUUUCAAUGGUAGCGAUGAGUUCUAGUAUGAGCUAAGGUCGUGAGAAUCAUUGAAAUUAGACGAGCUCGAGCACGAAGUCAUUUGUCUGCUCGAAUUAAAGAUUUACGGUCCUCAGCUAUCCGGCAGUGAGAAGCACCUCAAAGAUUUCUCACGGCAAGGCAGACUCACUGCGAUCGUUGGUCUCCAAGGCCUCUGCGGUUUAUAUGUCCUCAGCUAUCACGCGGUGGGACUCACACCGAGAUUAUUGAACAUCAUGUGCGUGAUUUGGCCACUGUUGGGUAUCCAGUUAAGAGUGUGAAACAACCAUGCUUCAGUGGCUUCCAUCAUGCUUGUUACUGAAAUUGCGUACAACAUUCCAUUGUUUUAAUUUUUUCCCCCCGAUCGGUCUGGUGAAGAUUGGUUCAUUGUAUGCUUAUAACUCUCCUCAU